AACGCGAAGAACCUUACCUGGGCUCGAACGGCUUAAGACCAUCUUUGGAAACAGAGACUUCCCGCAAGGGACUUGAGUCGAGGUGCUGCAUGGCUGUCGUCAGCUCGUGUCGUGAGAUGUUGGGUUAAGUCCCGCAACGAGCGCAACCCUUGUCCUGUGUUGCCACUCCGUAAGGAAGCACUCGCAGGAGACCGCCAGGGAUAACCUGGAGGAAGGUGGGGAUGAUGUCAAGUCAUCAUGGCCUUUAUGUCCAGGGCUACACACGUGCUACAAUGGACGGUACAAAGCGCUGCGAACCCGCGAGGGGAAGCUAAUCGCAAAAAACCGUUCUCAGUUCGAAUCGCAGGCUGCAACUCGCAUGCGUGAAGCUGGAAUCGCUAGUAAUGCCGUAUCAGAAUGUAUGGCGUGACAUACGUGUGCCCGGGUCAAGUUACUACGACCG
rnacentral:rRNA from 1 species